AGUGAACGCUGGCGGUAGGCCUAACACAUGCGAGUCGAACGGCAGCGCAGUAAGAGCUUGCUCUUACGGGUGGCGAGUGGCGGACGGGUGAGGAAUACAUCGGAAUCUACUUUUUCGUGGGGGAUAACGUAGGGAAACUUACGCUAAUACCGCAUACGACCUACGGGUGAAAGCAGGGGAUCUUCGGACCUUGCGCGAUUGAAUGAGCCGAUGUCGGAUUAGCUAGUUGGCGGGGUAAAGGCCCACCAAGGCGACGAUCCGUAGCUGGUCUGAGAGGAUGAUCAGCCACACUGGAACUGAGACACGGUCCAGACGCCUACGGGAGGCAGCAGUGGGGAAUAUUGGACAAUGGGCGAAAGCCUGAUCCAGCCAUACCGCGUGGGUGAAGAAGGCCUUCGGGUUGUAAAGCCCUUUUGUUGGGAAAGAAAAGCAGCAGGUUAAUACCCCGCUGUUCUGACGGUACCCAAAGAAUAAGCACCGGCUAACUUCGUG
rnacentral:rRNA from 1 species